CCGGAGAGUCCGAUCGAGGAGAAG
rnacentral:siRNA from 1 species